AAAGGGAGACCUAAUUCAGGUAAAAGACGAAAAAAAAGUAGUCGCUACCAAGAAUCAAUCCCAAAAGGUCGGAGCGAGGCGAAAUUGGCUUUCAAACUAGGUUCUGGGUUCAAACAAGACCUGAAUCAGGAACAAGGGCUAUUAGCUCAGGUGGUUAGAGCGCACCCCUGACAAGGGUGAGGUCCCUGGUUCGAGUCCAGGAUGGCCCACCUGCACAGGUGGCAAAAACAAGAGAAGCGAGGAAUCAGCACCUUAUCUUACUUAUAUAGUAAGAGAGAAUGCUGGCUCUGAGUAAAGAGUCCAGAGGAACCUUGAAAACUGCAUAGAGCUAGGUGAAAAAGCCAAAAAAGAAGACCGCAAG
rnacentral:tRNA from 1 species